AGCAGCCGCGGUAAUUCCAGCUCCAAUAGCGUAUAUUAAAGUUGUUGCAGUUAAAAAGCUCGUAGUUGAACUUCGGGGUCUACCCAUUGGUCAGGCUUAAUUGUCUGCACUGGUGAGAUGGAUCUCUACCUUCUGAGGAACUUUCAUGCCAUUUAUUUGGUGUGGUUUGAAAUCAGGACUGUUACUUUGAAAAAAUUAGAGUGUUUAAAGCAGACUAUCGUCUGAAUACAUUAGCAUGGAAUAAUGAAAUAGGACGGACUGAUUCUAUUUCGUUGGUUUCUAGGAUCACCGUAAUGAUUAGUAGGGAUAGUUGGGGGCAUUAGAUUCAAUUGUCAGAGGUGAAAUUCUUGGAUUUAUUGAAGACU
rnacentral:rRNA from 1 species